rnacentral:snRNA from 1 species
AUUCCGUCCAAGGCUAAA